GACGAACGCUGGCGGCGUGCCUAACACAUGCAAGUCGAACGAGGUCCAGGGAAGCUUGCUUCCUGAGGACCUAGUGGCGAACGGGUGAGUAACACGUGAGAAACCUGCCUCGGAGUGGGGGAAUAACUCGGGGAAACUCGAGCUAAUACCGCAUACCUUCACAUGAUCGCAUGGUCGAGUGAAGAAAGAAUUUCGCUCUGAGAGGGUCUCGCGGCCUAUCAGCUUGUUGGUGGGGUAACGGCCUACCAAGGCAACGACGGGUAGCUGGUUUGAGAGAACGAUCAGCCACACUGGGACUGAGACACGGCCCAGACUCCUACGGGAGGCAGCAGUGGGGAAUCUUGCGCAAUGGGCGAAAGCCUGACGGCAGCAACGCCGCGUGCGGGAUGACGGCC
rnacentral:rRNA from 1 species